ACUAACAUUAAUAAAAGAGAAAAAAAAAAAUCAUUUCAUUAGAGGAUUGAUGAGACGCUGAAAUGUAUAUAAAAAUAAAAAUAAAUGUUUUGAUGUUCAAUACACAGUCCAAAUACUCACUAUAGGAGAAUGAAUAAGCAUUGUGAUUCAUUUCUCUCCACUUGAUUUCAGUAACCAUGAGCUUAUUUCUGGCUGCUCUUUAAAUACUGCAUUAUUAAUUGCUGUGGGUUCAAGGACUAUGCCUUUUUUGUACACAAAUAAAGUAAGUCUUAAAACGACCACACAGAGGUUAAAGCAGCCCAAAAGGGCUUUAAACAAAGCCCUAAAAGCCAUUUAAUCAAAUAUUUUUUUUUAUUACCAGAAAGCAGACUGUUUCUGAGUUUGCAGUGUGUCACAAAUAAACAUGUUGAACAAACCAGACAAAUAAAAUCAACUUCUUUCAUAUUACAUUUUCUUUAAUGUGCACAGCAUUAUGUGAAUUUACAGUAAAAGCAAGGAAAGAGAAUUUGAGUUUUCCUAUAAAAAUAUGAAUAAAAAUACGAUCUCAUCUACGGAGGCAGACUCUUUAAGCAAACGCGUCGCAAUAGAUACUAAGACAGCAGGUAGACAAAGAGGUGACCGAAUCAAAGCAGGUAGACAAAAGGUGAGAGAAGUGAGCUUAAUAUCAUUACAAAAUACUAUAAACCCCACAUAAGCAGCAGCCUCUGAUGCUGGAAAUGUUAGUUUGCUGCCAGUCCUUGCCAGUGUGUGUGUGUGUGUGUGUGUGUGUGUGUGUGUGUGUCUGACAGUGAAUAAACAGAAAAGCAGACAGUUUUGUUUACGGGACGAAACUCCAAACCAAAUGAUUUCACUUCGUUCUGCAGAAACAGCAUUUAAAAAAAAAAUGCAAAAAACAAGUUCUUCAUCUUCAAAGACGGCAAAUAAAGUUUAAGUAUAUGUUAAGGCUGUGAUAAUGUGCUUAAAAAGUUCAAUCUUCACGACCUGCUGGAAGACCUCGCUAGGUUGUUAUCCUAUAGUUGCUAGCUUCAUGUGACGUCUCUCUGGAAGUUGUAAAGACAUUCUCUGCCACUCAAAAAACUGUUGCCAUGAUGGCCAGUUCGAAGUGUUACAUGUCAGAGCCAGGAACAGUCUCAUUGUUAGUAUAUGCUGAGCUGGCAAAGGGUUCAGUGAGGGCACCUCUUUUGCCCGUGUUUGGGCCGUCCACAAUAUUCAGUGGCAACAUGCAGUGUGACGGGCAGUCUUGACAUCAGCAGGGCCACGCCUAUUUUUUUAUUCGUUCAGUUUCCCCCGAGGCCGUUCCCA